rnacentral:tRNA from 1 species
GCCCAGGUGUUGAAACUGGUAGACAAGCACGGCUUAGAACCGUGUGCUGCAAGGCGUGAAGGUUCGAUUCCUUUCCUGGGCA